rnacentral:rRNA from 1 species
UACAGAGGGUGCAAACGUUGUUCGGAAUUACUGGGCGUAAAGCGCGUGUAGGCUGCUCUGCAAGUCGGGUGUGAAAGCCCUGGGCUCAACCUAGGAAGUGCACCCGAAACUGCGUAGCUAGAGUCCUGGAGAGGAAGGUGGAAUGCUUGGUGUAGAGGUGAAAUUCGUAGAUAUCAAGCGGAACACCGGUGGCGAAGGCGGCCUUCUGGACAGUGACUGACGCUGAGGCGCGAAAGCUAGGGGAGCGAACGGG